CCGCGCCCCGUAAAAGGACGCGCCAGCAGGACCCAAAAUCUGAUUUUAGGUAACUCUGAGCUAAAACAAAUAAUCAAAACUUUCAACAACGGAUCUCUUGGUUCUGGCAUCGAUGAAGAACGCAGCAAAAUGCGAUAAGUAAUGUGAAUUGCAGAAUUCAGUGAAUCAUCGAAUCUUUGAACGCACAUUGCGCCCGCCAGUAUUCUGGCGGGCAUGCCUGUUCGAGCGUCAUUUCACCCUCACGGUUUGGUGUUGGGGAUCGGCUGACUCAGGCCCCGAAAUCUAGUGGCGGUCUCGCUGAGCCUUGCGUAGUAGCUACCCUCGCAACUGGAACGCGGCGCGGCCAAGCCGUUAAACCCCAACUUCUGAA
rnacentral:rRNA from 1 species